AUUGAACGCUGGCGGAAUGCGUUACACAUGCAAGUCGAACGGCAGCACGGACUUCGGUCUGGUGGCGAGUGGCGAACGGGUGAGUAAUGUAUCGGAACGUGCCCAGUCGUGGGGGAUAACGUAGUGAAAAUUACGCUAAUACCGCAUACGAUCUAUGGAUGAAAGCGGGGGAUCGCAAGACCUCGCGCGAUUGGAGCGGCCGAUAUCAGAUUAGGUAGUUGGUGGGGUAAAGGCCCACCAAGCCAACGAUCUGUAGCUGGUCUGAGAGGACGAGCAGCCAAACUGGAACUGAGACACGGUACAGCCUCCUACGGGGGGCAGAAGUGGGGAAUUUUGGACGAUGGGCGAGAGCCUGAUCCAGCCAUUCCGCGUGCAGGAUGAAGGCCCUCGGGUUGUAAACUGCUUUUGUACAGAACGAAAAGGUUUCUACUAAUACUAGGAGCUCAUGACGGUACUGUAAGAAUAAGCACCGGCUAACUUCGUGCCAGCCGCCGCAGUAA
rnacentral:rRNA from 1 species